rnacentral:lncRNA from 1 species
GCUGAUUCGCUGCUCACCUUCAUCGCCGGCCGCCGCUCAACCCCUUCACAGUUAAGUCAUGAGUGAUUCACAAAAUAAAGUGGAGAAAAAGAAGGGCAAAACCCUGGUUUCAUUAAACAACAGGUUCCUUGAUUGCUAAUUUCAAAUAUGGAAUAAUAGGUCAUUUUCGUGUCUUAACAGGUCGUGUUCGGGUCUUAACACGUCGUGUUUGUGUCUUAAACAGGUCAUAUGAUAUGUUGGCAACAUUUUCGUGUCUUAACAGGUCAUUUCGUGUAACCUGUUUAUUAACAGGUUCGUGUUCGUGUUUGGAAAAUCUGACACGAUAAGAUUUCGUGUCGUGUUCGUGUUUACAGGUUUCGUGUUUGUGUCUUAUCGUGUUCGUGUCUUAACAGAUUGGGUUGACCCGAUAUGCCAGCCCUACGUUUUAUGUAAAACUUAACAAACCCAUCGGUUUGAUUAUUUUUGCCUGCUCGUCUGUUGAAGUGGCUUUUUGUGGAUGUUUGGGGACAUAGAUCUAUGACGUGUGGGUGGGUUUUUCGCUUUGUUCUUCAACUUGAUCUUCAUCUUUAUAAUCAUCUCACUCUUCAGUGUCAUUGAUCUCUUCUCCUCAUCCAAGCCUUCUUCAAGAACAAAGAACACAAAAUGACAUAUGAUUGUUAUCAGUAUCUUUUUCUUGAAGAUUUGUCCAUCUCAUGCAGCAAAAUCUUACUGAGUUACUCCCCUCACCUAGCAAUCCAUUCAGUGAAACUUCACGAAGAACAAUACUGGAUAUCCAAGAAAGCAUAUUAGCUAUCUUUGAUUUUUUUAUUUUUUUGGCGUUUUUACAGUGAGUGGUAUUUAGUAGUAUUGGCGUUUGUUUUUUGGUUUGAUGAAAUAGAAGUUGCUGAGAGGUAUCAUUUUAUAGGAUGUCUUUUGGCGCGUAGGUUAAGCGGUGCAUUAUUAUAAUAAAGUAUUCAUCGUUUCAGUUACAGUUUGUAAUUAUAGUUU